AGAAGAAGAAGAAGAAGGAGAAGGAGAAGGAGAAGGAGAAGAAGAAGAAGGGGAAAAGAAAAGGCUCAGGCUGACAAUUUUGUGGAAAUUCGGGUUUUUGAGACAGAAUUUGUAUGAGAGUAUGGCUUUGGAGAAAGACCGGCAAGGAAGGAAUUUACGGAGCUUUGACUACAGUUAUCAAAUCUUAUUACCAAAGACUUAAAUUUCACUUGGUUUGGACCAGGUGAGAGCGAUGGGCUUAAGUAGGGGGUCCCCUUCGACUUUCCUCCAUCCCGUUUCACAGGAAUAUUGUCUCUCUGACAGAACUCAGUAGCAUCACACUCCACAGGUUAAAGAAAAAAAA